rnacentral:tRNA from 1 species
GCGCCGCUCUGAUACGAGAGCUCCGGACUUUUAAUCCGUAGGUUGUGGGUUCGAGUCCCACGCGACCCA